CCUACGGGGGGCAGCAGUGAGGAAUAUUGGUCAAUGGGCGUAAGCCUGAACCAGCCAAGUCGCGUGAGGGAUGAAGGUUCUAUGGAUCGUAAACCUCUUUUAUAAGGGAAUAAAGUGCGGGACGUGUCCCGUUUUGAAUGUACCUUAUGAAUAAGGAUCGGCUAACUCCGUGCCAGCAGCCGCGGUAAUACGGAGGAUCCGAGCGUUAUCCGGAUUUAUUGGGUUUAAAGGGUGCGUAGGCGGCCUUUUAAGGCCGCGGGGAAAGUUUGGGGCUCAACCAUAGCAUUGCCGUUGAAACUGGGAGGCUUGAGUAUGGUUGAGGCAGGCGGAAUGCGUGGUGUAGCGGUGAAAUGCUUAGAUAUCACGAAGAACCCCGAUUGCGAAGGCAGCCUGCCAAGCCGUGACUGACGCUGAUGCACGAAAGCGUGGGGAUCGAACAGGAUUAGAUACCCUAGUAGUC
rnacentral:rRNA from 1 species